rnacentral:tRNA from 1 species
GGCCAUUUGGUGAAUGCUUAUCACAAUGAAAUUUCAAUUCAUAGUACUACAUGGCUA